rnacentral:rRNA from 1 species
CCUACGGGUGGCAGCAGUGAGGAAUAUUGGUCAAUGGGCGGGAGCCUGAACCAGCCAAGUCGCGUGAGGGAAGACGGUCCUAUGGAUUGUAAACCUCUUUAGUCGGGGAGCAAUGCCGGGCACGCGUGCCCGGAGGGAGAGUACCCGCAGCAUAAGCAUCGGCUAACUCCGUGCCAGCAGCCGCGGUAAUACGGAGGAUGCAAGCGUUAUCCGGAUUUAUUGGGGUUAAAGGGUGCGUAGGCGGAUUUGUAAGUCAGCGGUAAAAUGUCCGGGCUAAACCUGGGCCCGCAGUUGAAACUGGGGAUCUUGAGUGUGCGAGAAGUAGGCGGAAUGCGUGGUGUAGCGGUGAAAUGCAUAGAUAUCACGCAGAAUUCUGAUUGCGAAGGCAGCAUACCGGCGCCCGACUGACGCUGAGGCACGAAAGCGUGGGGACCGAACAGGAUUAGAUACCCGUGUAGUC